AUACGUAGGUGGCAAGCGUUGUCCGGAUUUAUUGGGCGUAAAGCGAGUGCAGGCGGUCUUUUAAGUCUGAUGUGAAAGCCUUCGGCUCAACCGAAGAAGUGCAUCGGAAACUGGGAAACUUGAGUGCAGAAGAGGACAGUGGAACUCCAUGUGUAGCGGUGAAAUGCGUAGAUAUAUGGAAGAACACCAGUGGCGAAGGCGGCUGUCUGGUCUGUAACUGACGCUGAGGCGCGAAAGCGUGGGGAGC
rnacentral:rRNA from 1 species